rnacentral:tRNA from 1 species
CUCCGCGUAGCUCAGAGGAUAGAGCGGCCGCCUCCUAAGCGGCAGGUCGGCGGUUCGAUUCCGCCCGUGGAGA